UCACCCGGGGAACGGCUCCCGCCCCGCGCGCGCUUCCCGCCCGCAGGGCCGCGGGUUCGAGUCCCGCCGGGGCAGC